rnacentral:lncRNA from 1 species
UGGAAAUCCACUUAUGGUAAAGGGCAAGAGUGACUUUUGAGACUUUGGCAAGAAUUUGAAGAUUAAAUUCAUAAAGCUAAUCACUUCAUAGUUGGAGUGAAAAAUACGAUGACUUUUGGAGUUGAACCAACAGAAAAGAAGGAAAAUAAUUGUGAAUGUAUAGAAGUUUAUCAUCUUCUGUUACCAGAAAACUUAAAUGAUAACCUUUGAGUUAGCUUCUCAUUUUGUUUGAAUAUAUGAUCACCUCUAUUCGAGCUUGGAAUUUUUCAAGAAACCACAGUUUAAGAGGGCUUUGGAUAAAUGGAAACUCUUUCCAAGAAUGUUGGCCAGAGUGGGAAAUGAAAGAAGAGGAAUGAAUUAUCUAGGAAACACACUGCCACGGCCCUGACAUUGUAUCUCAUUUAAUGCCCUCAGCUCUGCAAGUUCAUUAAUAUCUCCACUAUACAGACAAUUUAGUAUUGUUUGGAUGAAGUGCGAUAACAAUAAUUAACUUCUUCAAAGUCACACAGCUGUCACUUAGCAAAACCACCAUUCAAACUGCUCUGUCUUGAUUCUAAAUCUGUAUUCCAUCUCAUUAUCUGCAAGAAGAUUUAGGAGGACUUUUAUAGUUGGCUUCAAAUAUUUUAAGAUUGUCAUAUCAAAGACUUAAAUUUUCUCUAAGAAAAACAAAAAGUAGACCAAAUUUGUGUAGGCUGUUGGGAGUAGGAUCUUUAGCUCAGCAUAAAGAAUUUUUAAACGAUGCAGCUCUCCGAAGACAGAGGGCUGCCUUGUGAUGGAGUGGCUUUCUGGUCUUUUAGGUGUGCCUACAGCCUAACUGAUGAUGGAUUCUUACUAUUUGCCCUUCCAUCUCUGAGAGUCUACAAUUAGAAUUCCUACCACCUAACACCAUUACCAAAAGCCACAGUGGUAGCAUUAUCAUAAUUAUUUUAUUUAUUUGUGUUUUAGAGUAAUACCUUCUAAGAGUAUAAUGUCAUGUAGUCUACAGGGCUUUCAAUACACUAUGAAACAAUUAAAUAUACUUCUGAGACCUCUUUGAGCUAGAUAUUAUUAUGUAUGGUCUGUAAAUGAGGGAGGAGAUUCAGAGUAUUUGUGGCUUGCCUGGAGUAAAAUGCCUAGUAAAUGAUGGAAUUGGGAGUUUAACCUAGGUUCUUUAAAUUCCCUGCUCUUUUUACUACUGGAAAUUAUCAAUAAAACUGUCAAAAUGGA